rnacentral:rRNA from 1 species
UACGGAGGGUGCAAGCGUUAUCCGGAUUCACUGGGUUUAAAGGGUGCGUAGGUGGGUAGGUAAGUCAGUGGUGAAAUCCCCGAGCUUAACUUGGGAACUGCCGUUGAUACUAUCUAUCUUGAAUAUCGAGUAGGUAAGCGGAAUAUGUCAUGUAGCGGUGAAAUGCUUAGAUAUGACAUAGAACACCAAUUGCGAAGGCAGCUUACUUCAAGAUUAUUGACACUGAGGCACGAAAGCGUGGGGAUCAAACAGG